GACGAACGCUGGCGGCGUGCUUAACACAUGCAAGUCGAGCGAUGAAGCUCCUUCGGGAGUGGAUUAGCGGCGGACGGGUGAGUAACACGCGGGCAACCUGCCUUAUAGAGAGGAAUAGCCAUCCGAAAGGAUGAUUAAUACCUCAUAAUAUUGUAGCUUCGCAUGGAGCAACAAUCAAAGGAGCAAUCCACUAUAAGAUGGGCCCGCGGCGCAUUAGCUAGUUGGUGAGGUAACGGCUCACCAAGGCGACGAUGCGUAGCCGACCUGAGAGGGUGAUCGGCCACAUUGGGACUGAGACACGGCCCAGACUCCUACGGGAGGCAGCAGUGGGGAAUAUUGCACAAUGGGGGAAACCCUGAUGCAGCAACGCCGCGUGAGUGAUGACGGCCUUCGGGUUGUAAAGCUCUGUCUUCAGGGACGAUAAUGACGGUACCUGAGGAGGAAGCCACGGCUAACUACGUGCCAGCCGCCGCAGUAACAC
rnacentral:rRNA from 1 species